GACAGAGGGUGCAAACGUUGUUCGGAAUUACUGGGCGUAAAGCGCAUGUAGGCGGCUCUGCAAGUCGGAUGUGAAAUCCCACGGCUCAACCAUGGAAGUGCAUUCGAAACUGCAGGGCUAGAGUCCUGGAGAGGAAGGUGGAAUGCUUGGUGUAGAGGUGAAAUUCGUAGAUAUCAAGCGGAACACCGGUGGCGAAGGCGGCCUUCUGGACAGUGACUGACGCUGAGACGCGAAAGCGUGGGGAGCAAACAGG
rnacentral:rRNA from 1 species